CAUAUUUUAUUUCGAGUAAUUUUGAAGUAUAUUAGUUGUGAGUUUUUAAAUGUAUCUAACCAAAAGGCGUUGUUGAUUUUUUUUUUAUUUUUUUUUAAAUGGGCCUGGGAAGACAAUAAAAAAAACUUAAGAAAAGAGAGAAGAAAAUGCGUGUCGUUCACGUGAUCCCUCGUGAUGGACAUGCUGCUAUGUCUGACACUCGGUACUUUCGACAUUUUUGUUGGUGUCUUAACGAUCGACGAAGCAAAACCACAGCCACUCCAUGUUUCCCC
rnacentral:lncRNA from 1 species